AUAUAUUUCUAUACAACAUCUACAUCAACAUCUCUCGAAAUCAGAACUUCUGAUUUGCUAGCAAAGGCAUGGCAUCUGCUUAUUGUGGAGUGAGAUGAGCUCAUUGCAUGUAGUUAACAUUAAAAAAUAAAUAAUACAUGCAUAUUAUUUUUAGGAAGAAGCAUUAAUUUCCUUCCCACUCAUUUUAAAGGUGGAAUAUUCUUGGCAUCCACAAACCUAACUCUUCCUGAUCCCCCAAGCCCCUGUGCAUGUUUACAGUAUUGUUUACAAUGUCUACACAUAAAUGCUUUUCAGUGGAGAAUAGGUUAGCUCUAACGCUUUUAGACUGAGGACCUCUUUAUGUAGCUGAAAGGCUCACUCUGUAAAUACAUAAUAUGCACAUUUAUUUGCUGUGGCAGCCAAAAUAUGAUAUUAUUGUUUGAAGUUGACUUUUUCACUUAGAUGGCUGCAGGUUUAGUCCAGAAUAAUCUAUGCCAAAUAGUUUUUUUCAGAAUCUAUCCCCCUCCUUCCUUUUUGAAACUCUUCUUCCAAAUGUAUAAUAUAGUAGCUACAAAUGUUGCUUGUUGACAAACUGGUAACCAUACAAAAGGCUACAAUAGGGUGAAAAUUAGGUUUCCCAUGGGUAGGUUAGAGACUUUGCGGUGUACUGAAUAGUAAGGGGCUCCCAAUAGUAUCUCCUUUUUCCUGAGGUGUGCGCUCGUUCACUACUCCCACAAAUAAAUGCACUGGAUCAGUGAAGGCAUGUGUUUUCCUUAAUAUUUUGAGAACCAGCUGUUUCCUAUUAAUUCCUAUUCAGUGAAAGCAAGUGAACAUGUGCAAACUUUGAGAGAUGAAGGAAAGGACAUUGCCUGAGACUCCUGUUAUCCCUUUUCAAGUGUAGCAUGUCAGUUUACUAAUCACGUAUGCAAAAAUGUUUCGUUUUUUACGCUGAAAGGUGAAUGCUAACUUUUGGCUUAUUUUCCUCCUUCCAUUUUCAUUUCUCAAUGUUUGUAAAUUAUAGAUAUUUAAUCUGCUUGCACUACAUUCUAGAUCACAGAGCUGUAUAUACAAUAUAUGUUUGAAUAUGUGUGUAUUUAUUUAUUUAACCAAUUAUGCCUUUGGUUGUCUUAUGCUUUCGUUUGAUUGUUUACGAUUGAUAUGGACUGUUAUUGACCUAUUAGUGCUAUUAUUAUAUUAUAAUUUGUAUUAUCUCAUUAUUAUCACCUAGUGGUAUUAUUGUCAUUAUCAGGGAUAGUAUGACUAUCUUUAUUGUUAUUUAUAUUGAUGUUGUAACUGUCAUUUUUAAUCACAUUACAAUUGCACAGCACAACACAAUGGAAAACAUCCUACAAUGGCCUUUGUGGUCAUUCAACUGGUCAAUUCCGAACUGUAUUGGUGAGAAAACUGCCCUAAAAAGCAUGUUUACAGUUAGUUAGUUAUACAAUGUAUAUGCUGCAAUGAUGGAUAACUUAAGUGGUUACGUUGAAGACGGCCAGUUUAUGUUAUAACUAAUAGAAACAUGCAUGCGAGCACACACACAUACUUGAAUGUUUUUCAAGUCACCAGCCACCAGUGAGCUCCAUCUUUCCUUCAUAUCUUCUUAGUAAUUUACUUCUAUCUCUCAGGUCUUUCUUUCUCGUACCAAUUCAUUCAUUCAUCAUGAACAAUGUUAUUCCAAACAAAUUCACUAUUGUCUCUUCUCUUUUCUAUGGUUUACAAUGAUAUAUUUCCUAUUUGAUCCUGUUUGUUAUAAGCUACUUCCUGUCUAAUAUAAUCUACAUCUUGUUUGAUAUGAUAUUUUCAAUUUGGAUGAGGAAUCCUGACCGCCUCCCAAAUGGCAUCCUAUACAGUGCGAUCCUUUGGUAGAAUCCUAUAUGGAGAAUAGGGUACCAUUUGAAAGGCAAAUACAGACUGCAGCACGAAUGGUUACAGACCAUUGGCCCACUUGGUUAAUUAGUGUUGUUCUUCCUAUUGUUGUUGGUUACUGAUCUAUACUAUAACCCUGAAUGGGACUUCUGUGCAGACUUGCCUGACUGUGCAUGCCUUAAUUAAUUGACUGCUUUAUAAACAUUCAGUAUAAGUAUGAAUGUACACUGCUAUGUUAAUCCAAGGUAUUGAAAACGCACUCUGUAUUGGUCUUGAUCCUGUGCUUAUUAAUGAUCAAGUUCGAAAGGAGCCUUGUGAAUAAACCCUAGUUGAGUAUGAACUCCGCAUCAUCUGGUGUUUUGCUGCUCCUCGCUGCUUGUCUUGUUUUUGCCCUUUGCCUGAAAUGCUCUCCCAUACUUUCUUCUCUACAUUGCUUGGGAUCAGGGAUCAGCGGGACCCACUCUCCUUUUCGUGUGCGUGUGCCUGUGAGCAAGUUUUCAUCAUUUUUAGUUAUGCGUCUCUAGGAUAUUGCAGUUGUCAAGGCAACGGCUGGUAGGGAGAAAGAGCAGACGGAAAGCAGGGAUAGUACAGUGAUGGAAGCAAGGUCGG
ensembl:lncRNA